AUGAACGUUGGCGGCGUGGAUUAGGCAUGCAAGUCGAGCGAGAAGCCUCCUUCGGGAGGUGGACAGCGGCAAACGGGGUAGUAAGGCAUCGGUAACGCACCCCCAGGACCGGGAUAGCCGAGGGAAACUUCGGGUAAUACCGGAUAAUAUCUCCGGAUCAAAUGGUGAGAUUCCGCCUGGGGACCGGCUGAUGUGAUACCAGCUAGUUGGUAAGGUAAUGGCUUACCAAGGCUUAGACGUCUAGGGGGUGUGAGAGCAUGGCCCCCACCACUGGGACUGAGACACUGCCCAGACACCUACGGGUGGCUGCAGUCGAGAAUCUGCGGCAAUGGGCGAAAGCCUGACCGAGCGACGCCGCGUGCGGGAUGACGGCCCUUGGGUUGUAAACCGCUGUCAGAGGGGAUGAAAUUCCAGAGAGCUAUCUUUCUGGAUUGACAAAGCCUCAGAGGAAGCCCGGGCUAAGUACGU
rnacentral:rRNA from 1 species